rnacentral:rRNA from 1 species
AUUGAACGCUGGCGGCAGGCCUAACACAUGCAAGUCGAGCGGAUGAAGGGAGCUUGCUCCUGGAUUCAGCGGCGGACGGGUGAGUAAUGCCUAGGAAUCUGCCUGGUAGUGGGGGAUAACGUCCGGAAACGGGCGCUAAUACCGCAUACGUCCUGAGGGAGGAAGUGGGGGAUCUUCGGACCUCACGCUAUCAGAUGAGCCUAGGUCGGAUUAGCUAGUUGGUGGGGUAAAGGCCUACCAAGGCGACGAUCCGUAACUGGUCUGAGAGGAUGAUCAGUCACACUGGAACUGAGACACGGUCCAGACUCCGACGGGAGGCAGCAGUGGGGAAUAUUGGACAAUGGGCGAAAGCCUGAUCCAGCCAUGCCGCGUGUGUGAAGAAGGUCUUCGGAUUGUAAAGCACUUUAAGUUGGGAGGAAGGGCAGUAAGUUAAUACCUUGCUGUUUUGACGUUACCAACAGAAUAAGCACCGGCUAACUUCGUG